UGUUUCGGCUAGGGGGCCAUCCCGGCUUACCAACCCGAUGCAAACUGCGAAUACCGGAGAAUGUUAUCACGGGAGACACACGGCGGGUGCUAACGUCCGUCGUGAAGAGGGAAACAACCCAGACCGCCAGCUAAGGUCCCAAAGUCAUGGUUAAGUGGGAAACGAUGUGGGAAGGCCCAGACAGCCAGGAUGUUGGCUUAGAAGCAGCCAUCAUUUAAAGAAAGCGUAAUAGCUCACUGGUCGAGUCGGCCUGCGCGGAAGAUGUAACGGGGCUAAACCAUGCACCGAAGCUGCGGCAGCGAACGUAUCACUUAAAGCGAUUCAGCGGGUUACGAUUGACGGAGCGAAGCGACGUCAAAGCGUAUACAAAGUCGAGUCGGUUUAAGGAUACGUUCGUUGGGUAGGGGAGCGUUCUGUAAGCCUGUGAAGGUGGCCUGUGAGGGUUGCUGGAGGUAUCAGAAGUGCGAAUGCUGACAUAAGUAACGAUAAAGCGGGUGAAAAGCCCGCUCGCCGGAAGACCAAGGGUUCCUGUCCAACGUUAAUCGGGGCAGGGUGAGUCGACCCCUAAGGCGAGGCCGAAAGGCGUAGUCGAUGGGAAACGGGUUAAUAUUCCCGUACUUGGUGUUACUGCGAAGGGGGGACGGAGAAGGCUAUGUUGGCCGGGCGACGGUUGUCCCGGUUUAAGCGUGUAGGUGUGUGUUCCAGGUAAAUCCGGUUCACUUUAACACUGAGGCGUGAUGACGAGGCACUACGGUGCUGAAGCAACAAAUGCCCUGCUUCCAGGAAAAGCCUCUAAGCAUCAGGUAACAUCAAAUCGUACCCCAAACCGACACAGGUGGUCAGGUAGAGAAUACCAAGGCGCUUGAGAGAACUCGGGUGAAGGAACUAGGCAAAAUGGUGCCGUAACUUCGGGAGAAGGCACGCUGACACGUAGGUGAAGUGAUUUACUCACGGAGCUGAAGUCAGUCGAAGAUACCAGCUGGCUGCAACUGUUUAUUAAAAACACAGCACUGUGCAAACACGAAAGUGGACGUAUACGGUGUGACGCCUGCCCGGUGCCGGAAGGUUAAUUGAUGGGGUCAGCGCAAGCGAAGCUCCUGAUCGAAGCCCCGGUAAACGGCGGCCGUAACUAUAACGGUCCUAAGGUAGCGAAAUUCCUUGUCGGGUAAGUUCCGACCUGCACGAAUGGCGUAAUGAUGGCCAGGCUGUCUCCACCCGAGACUCAGUGAAAUUGAACUCGCUGUGAAGAUGCAGUGUACCCGCGGCAAGACGGAAAGACCCCGUGAACCUUUACUAUAGCUUGACACUGAACAUUGAGCCUUGAUGUGUAGGAUAGGUGGGAGGCUUUGAAGUGUGGACGCCAGU
rnacentral:rRNA from 1 species